UACGUAGGGGGCAAGCGUUGUCCGGAAUCAUUGGGCGUAAAGCGCGCGUAGGCGGUCCGAUAAGUCUGCUGUGAAAGUCGGGGGCUCAACCCUCGGAUGCCGGUGGAUACUGUCGGGCUUGAGUGCGGAAGAGGCGAGUGGAAUUCCUGGUGUAGCGGUGAAAUGCGCAGAUAUCAGGAGGAACACCAAUUGCGAAGGCAGCUCGCUGGGACGUUACUGACGCUGAGACGCGAAAGCGUGGGGAGCGAACAGG
rnacentral:rRNA from 1 species